rnacentral:rRNA from 1 species
UACGGAGGUGGCAAGCGUUACUCGGAUUCAUUGGGUGUAAAGGGCAGGUAGGUGGUUCUGUAAGUCGGGAGUGAAAUCCCUCGGCUCAACCGAGGAACUGCUUUCGAAACCGCAGGACUUGAGACUAGAAGAGGAGAGUGGAAUUCCCGGUGUAAGGGUGAAAUCUGUAGAUAUCGGGAGGAACACCAGUAGCGAAGGCGACUCUCUGGGCUAGUUCUGACACUGAGCUGCGAAAGCUAGGGGAGCAAACAGG